GACGAACGCUGGCGGCGUGCUUAACACAUGCAAGUCGAACGGUGAACCAGAGCUUGCUCUGGGGAUCAGUGGCGAACGGGUGAGUAACACGUGGGCAACCUGCCCCAGACUCUGGGAUAACCUCGGGAAACCGAUGCUAAUACCGGAUACGACCACUUCGGACAUCCGACGGUGGUGGAAAGUUUUUUCCGGUCUGGGAUGGGCCCGCGGCCUAUCAGCUAGUUGGUGGGGUAAUGGCCUACCAAGGCGACGACGGGUAGCCGGCCUGAGAGGGCGACCGGCCACACUGGAACUGAGACACGGUCCAGACUCCUACGGGAGGCAGCAGUGGGGAAUAUUGCACAAAUGGGCAAAGCCUGAUGCAGCGACGCCGCGUGAGGGGACGACGGG
rnacentral:rRNA from 1 species